UAGAUUAAUUAAAAUUCAGAUGGUUAAAGAUGGGCAUGCGUCCCAUUAGCUAGUUGGUGAGGUAACGGCUCACCAAGGCCACGAUGGGUAGGGGUUCUGAGAGGAUGAUCCCCCACACUGGUACUGAGACACGGACCAGACUCCUACGGGAGGCAGCAGUAAGGAAUAUUGGUCAAUGGACGCAAGUCUGAACCAGCCAUGCCGCGUGCAGGAAGACGGCCCUAUGGGUUGUAACUGCUUUUGUACGGGAAGAAUACAUUUACGUGUAAAUGUUUGACGGUCCGUAAGAAUAAGGAUCGGCUAACUCCGUGCCAGCAGCCGCGGUAAUACGGAGGAUCCGAGCGUUAUCCGGAUUUAUUGGGUUUAAAGGGUGCGCAGGCGGGUAUAUAAGUCAGAGGUGAAUUCCACGGCUCAACUGUGGGACUGCCUUUGAUACUGCAUAUCUAGAGUAUAUUUGGAGUGGGCGGAAUGUAGCAUGUAGCGGUGAAAUGCUUAGAUAUGCUACAGAACACCGAUCGUGAAGACAGCUCACUAAACUAUAACUGACGCUCAGGCACGAAAGCGUGGGGAGCAAACAGGAU
rnacentral:rRNA from 1 species